rnacentral:tRNA from 1 species
ACAUAGAAGUAAAAAGUUACAUUUAGUUUCGACCUAAAAUUAAGGAAAAAAUCCUCAUGUU